rnacentral:misc_RNA from 1 species
GAUGAAGAACGUAGCGAAAUGCGAUAAGUAAUGUGAAUUGCAGAAUUCAGUGAAUCAUCGAAUCUUUGAACGCACAUUGCGCCCGCCAGCAUUCUGGCGGGCAUGCCUGUUCGAGCGUCAUUUCAACCCUCGAGCCCCCCCGGGGGCCUCGGUGUUGGGGGACGGCACACCAGCCGCCCCCGAAAUGCAGUGGCGACCCCGCCGCAGCCUCCCCUGCGUAGUAGCACACACCUCGCACCGGAGCGCGGAGGCGGUCACGCCGUAAAACGCCCAACUUCUGAAUGUUGACCUCGAAUCAGGUAGGAAUACCCGCUGAACUUAAGCAUAUCAAUAAGCGGAGGA